AGGCUAGCCGGGAUACUUUAGAACUUCUAAUUCUUACAGGGGGGUUCGACUCCUCCAUAGCCUU
rnacentral:tRNA from 1 species